GACGAACGCUGGCGGCGUGCUUAACACAUGCAAGUCGAACGAAGUGGCGAACGGGUGAGUAACGCGUAAACAACCUGCCCUUCAGAGGGGGACAACAGUUGGAAACGACUGCUAAUACCGUAUACUGACGGAGGGGUUUGCGUCUGAUUAGCUAGUUGGAGGGGUAACGGCCCACCAAGGCGAAGAUCAGUAGCCGGGCUGAGAGGAUGAACGGCCACACUGGGACUGAGACACGGCCCAGACUCCGACGGGAGGCAGCAGUGGGGAAUCUGCCGCAAUGGACGAAAGUCUGACGGAGCAACGCCGCGUGAGUGAUGACGGCCUUCGGGUUGUAAAGCUCUGUUAAUCGGGACGCGGUACCGGAAUAGAAAGCCACGGCUAACUACGUGCCAGCAGCCGCGGUAAUAC
rnacentral:rRNA from 1 species